rnacentral:rRNA from 1 species
UACGUAGGGGGCAAGCGUUGUCCGGAAUCAUUGGGCGUAAAGCGCGUGCAGGCGGCUCGAUAAGUCUGCUGUGAAAGUCCAGGGCUCAACCCUGGGAUGCCGGUGGAUACUGUCGAGCUCGAGUCCGGAAGAGGCGAGUGGAAUUCCUGGUGUAGCGGUGAAAUGCGCAGAUAUCAGGAAGAACACCCGUGGCGAAAGCGGCUCUCUGGAACGGUACUGACGCUGAGACGCGAAAGCGUGGGGAGCGAACAGG